CUGCUCCAGAUUAGCCAUGCAUGUCUAAGUAUAAGUAGUAUACAGCGAAACUGCGAAUGGCUCAUUAAAACAGUUAUAGUUUAUUCGAUAGUAAAAUUACAUGGAUAACCGUGGUAAAUCUAUGGCUAAUACAUGCGCAAAGGCCCGACCCUGAAGGGCUGUAUUUAUUAGAUCUAACCAUCAUUUGGUGAAUCACAGUAACUGAUCGGACCGUGCGUUAGCGCGGUAAAUCGUUCAAGUUUCUGCCCUAUCAGCUUUCGAUGGUAGUGUAUUGGACUACCAUGGCAGUCACGGGUAACGGAGAAUUAGGGUUCGGUUCCGGAGAGGGAGCCUGAGAAACGGCUACCACAUCUAAGGAAGGCAGCAGGCGCGUAAAUUACCCAAUCCCGAUUCGGGGAGGUAGUGACAAGAAAUAACAACUCGAGAGGUUUACCUCUACGAGAUUGCAAUGAGAACAAUCCAAAACACUUAGCGAUAAACAAUUGGAGGGCAAGUCUGGU
rnacentral:rRNA from 1 species